GGAGGAGCAGAAACACGAGGCGGUGAACUGAACUUCAGGGAUCUGAAGGGGCUUGGAUGGGGAAAUAACUAAUUAUGACUUACCAAGCAUGCUGAUGGAACUGAGCUGGUUUCACUGAGUGCACAGGAAAUUGGUUUAUAAAACCUCUAUAAGAAGAGAAGGUGGCAGGUAAGCAUGAGACGACCGGGGAGCGAGCUGAGGAGGAGGCGAGCGUUUGAUGGAUAGUGCCGGUGAAGACGUGAGGGGGAGAUGCGCCGUGUGGUAAAUAAAAUCUGUGUUUGUGCCUUAACAGGCUUUCCUUGCAAUUACAGUCUCUUGCAAUUACAGCAAUUACAGUCUCUUGUAUUCCAUAAGCUGCCUCCAGCCAUUUGUUUGAAGCCAAUUCAUCACGGUACAAGAAAGAAAAUUAACAUUACUGAUUGAACUUCAGCACGCUGAAGUCAAAUGAGGAUGGGACGUGAGCUUCUGUCUUCCGGGGCAAUGCAGAUUUUCAU